rnacentral:misc_RNA from 1 species
UAUAUUUAUUAUUUCAACAUUCUAAAACACACAAAGAGGUUGUGAAAAUGACAUAGACCUGGGAAGAUGCAAAGGUAAAAGCCGACUUUCAACAGAAGCACAGCAGUUCCAAAACUCCAGGUCUACAAUAUGUGCACAGUUGGAGAAAUAAAGAUGACAAGCGUGCACGAUGCCCAGAAGGCCAGCAACAGCCUGUGCAAGUUUAUUCAAUAAUGAUCCUUCCGCAGGUUCACCUACGGAAA